rnacentral:lncRNA from 1 species
AUUUGUAAAAGUAUUACAGAGCCCUCACUGUGUGUCUCAUGAAUUAACAAUAUGUAAAUGUCCUCAACUCCACUGCUUUCUCUCAACUGUUCACCUCUGCCUCUUGAUCUCCCACUAUUAAAGUUGAUUUCCUUAUUGAUUAACUAAUUUUAGGUAGAGGAAUUAUCAGCACUUCAAAAGAGGUCAGCAGUUUGGGGAUCACUGAUGAGUUAAACAUUAAAUCUUUUUUAAAAAGUACCAUUAAGCUCAGUGAUUAAAUGUUGAUUAUUUUUUAGAUGAUGAAACAUGUAGAAAGGUUUUCAUUUCCUUGUGAACAGGUGUUGUUCGUUUUCAUGGACUCAGAGUAUGCUGGCACUACGGUGAAUUUCUCCUCAUAGGAAGUAACACAAGAUGAUACAUAUGGUCAUCCAAACAGGCAAGAAGUUAGAAGAAAAUGGGGUGGGAAGAAGCUCUCAACAUGAGCAAGCUGAUUUGCAGCCACCAUCCCUGCCAUGGGUGUGGGCACGACCUGACUGUCCUC